rnacentral:rRNA from 1 species
CUACGGGGCGCACCAGUGAGGAAUAUUGCACAAUGGGGGGAACCCUGAUGCAGCAACGCCGCGUGGAGGAUGACGCAUUUCGGUGUGUAAACUCCUUUUAUAUGUCAAGAAAAUGACGGUAGCAUAUGAAUAAGCACCGGCUAACUCCGUGCCAGCAGCCGCGGUAAUACGGGGGGUGCAAGCGUUACUCGGAAUCACUGGGCGUAAAGGACGCGUAGGCGGGUUGGAAAGUCAGGUGUGAAAUCCUACAGCUUAACUGUAGAACUGCACUUGAAACUUCUAAUCUAGAGUAUGGGAGGGGGGGAUGGAAUUAGUGGUGUAGGGGUAAAAUCCGUAGAUAUCACUAGGAAUACCUAAAGCGAAGGCGAUCUCCUGGAACAUUACUGACGCUAAGGCGUGAAAGCGUGGGGAGCAAACAGGAUUAGAUACCCGAGUAGUC